UCCAGAAAGAAGGGGCAGUAACCCUCAUAGG
rnacentral:piRNA from 1 species